CCGCGGCGAGAGCGGGUC
rnacentral:snRNA from 1 species